AGAGUUUGAUCAUGGCUCAGGAUGAACGCUAGCGGCAGGCUUAAUACAUGCAAGUCGAGGGGUAACAUGGGUAGCAAUACCUGAUGACGACCGGCAAACGGGUGCGGAACACGUACGCAACCUUCCCAUAACUGGUGUAUAGCCUUUCGAAAGAGAGAUUAAUACACCGUAACAUAACGAAGCGGCAUCGCUUUGUUAUUAUAGGCUUCGGCCGGUUUUGGAUGGGCGUGCGCCUGAUUAGGUAGUUGGCGGGGUAACGGCCCACCAAGCCUGCGAUCAGUAACUGGUGUGAGAGCACGACCAGUCACACGGGCACUGAGACACGGGCCCGACUCCUACGGGAGGCAGCAGUAAGGAAUAUUGGUCAAUGGACGAAAGUCUGAACCAGCCAUGCCGCGUGAAGGAUGAAGGCCCUCUGGGUUGUAAACUUCUUUUAUCUGGGACGAAAAAAGGGCUUUCUAGCUCACUUGACGGUACCAGAGGAAUAAGCACCGGCUAACUCCGUGCCAGCAGCCGCGGUAAUACGGAGGGUGCAAGCGUUAUCCGGAUUCACUGGGUUUAAAGGGUGCGUAGGUGGGUCUGUAAGUCAGUGGUGAAAUCUCCGAGCUUAACUCGGAAACUGCCAUUGAUACUAUAGGUCUUGAAUCAUCUGGAGGUAAGCGGAAUAUGUCAUGUAGCGGUGAAAUGCUUAGAUAUGACAUAGAACACCAAUUGCGAAGGCAGCUUACUACGGGUGUAUUGACACUGAGGCACGAAAGCGUGGGGAGCAAACAGGAUUAGAUACCCUAGUAGUCC
rnacentral:rRNA from 1 species